rnacentral:tRNA from 1 species
UCCCUGGUGGUCCAAUGGGUAGGACUCCAUGCUUCCACUGCAGGGAGCACAGGUUCAAUCCCUGGUCGGGGAA